rnacentral:rRNA from 1 species
GUACGGCUCAUUAUAACAGUUAUAAUUUACACGAGUUUGAUGUCCUAAACGGAUAUCUGCGAUAAUUUUGGAGCUAAUACGUGCACCAAAUCUCGAUCCUCUGGAUCCGAGAGCACUUGUUAGACCAAGACCAUUCCGGGCAACCGGGUUUUGGUGACUCUGAAUAAUUUCGCUGAUCGCACGGUCUCGUACCGGCGACGUAUCGUUCAAGUAUCUGCUUUAUCAACUUUCGAUGGAAGUCUAUAUGGCUACCAUGGUUAUGACGGAUAACGGAGAAUAAGGGUUCGACUCCGGAGAGGGAGCCUGAGAAACGGCUACCACAUCCAAGGAAGGCAGCAGGCGCGUAAAUUACCCACUCUCAAUUCGAGGAGGUAGUAACUAUCAAUAACGAGACAGAUCUCUUUGAGGCCUGUUAUCGGAAUGGGUACAAUUUAAACCC